GCGCUCGUAGCUCAGUUGGAUAGAGCACAUGCCUUCUAAGCCUGUGGUCAGAGGUUCGAAUCCCCUCGAGCGCGCCA
rnacentral:tRNA from 1 species